rnacentral:rRNA from 1 species
GUAGGUGGCAAGCGUUGUCCGGAAUUAUUGGGCGUAAAGCGCGCGCAGGCGGUCCUUUAAGUCUGAUGUGAAAGCCCACGGCUCAACCGUGGAGGGUCAUUGGAAACUGGGGGACUUGAGUACAGAAGAGGAAAGCGGAAUUCCAAGUGUAGCGGUGAAAUGCGUAGAGAUUUGGAGGAACACCAGUGGCGAAGGCGGCUUUCUGGUCUGUAACUGACGCUGAGGCGCGAAAGCGUGGGGAGCAAACAGGAUUAGAUACCCUGGUAGUCCACGCCGUAAACGAUGAGUGCUAAGUGUUAGGGGGUUUCCCGCCCCCCUUAGUGCUGCAGCUAACGCAUUAAGCACACCGCCUGGGGGAGUACGGCCGCAAGGCUG